GGUGCCGUAGCCAAGUGGUAAGGUCCGAAGCUGCAACCUUCGUAUUCGUUGGUUCAAAUCCAAUCGGCACCUCCA
rnacentral:tRNA from 1 species